CACUGCAUAGCCUAAUGGAUAAGGCGUUUGCUUUUGGAUCAGAAGAUUGAGGGUUCGUGCCCCUUUGCAGUUG
rnacentral:tRNA from 1 species